rnacentral:rRNA from 1 species
CCUACGGGUGGCAGCAGUCGAGAAUCAUUCACAAGGGGGGAAACCCUGAUGGGGCGACGCCGCGUGGGGGAAUGAAGGUCUGCGGAUUGUAAACCCCUGUCAUGUGGGAGCAAAUUAAAAAGAUAGUACCACAAGAGGAAGAGACGGCUAACUCUGUGCCAGCAGCCGCGGUAAGACAGAGGUCUCAAGCGUUGUUCGGAAUCACUGGGCGUAAAGCGUGCGUAGGCUGUUUCGUAAGUCGUGUGUGAAGGGCGCGGGCUCAACCCGCGGACGGCACGUGAUACUGCGAGACUAGAGUACUGGAGGGGUACCCGGACUUCUCGGUGUAUCCGUGCACUGCGUAGCUAUCGUGAGGACCCCUCUUGGCGAAGGCGGGUUCCUGUACCUUAACUGCCGCUG